rnacentral:rRNA from 1 species
UCCAGACUCCUACGGGAGGCAGCAGUGAGGAAUAUUGGUCAAUGGGCGAGAGCCUGAACCAGCCAAGUCGCGUGAAGGAUGACGGCCCUACGGGUUGUAAACUUCUUUUGUCAGGGAGCAAUUGAGUCCACGUGUGGGCUUAGCGAGAGUACCUGAAGAAAAAGCAUCGGCUAACUCCGUGCCAGUAGCCGCGGUAAUACGUAUGGUGCAAGCGUUAUCCGGAUUUACUGGGCGUAAAGGGAGCGCAGGCGGCGCGCCAAGUCUGAUGUGAAACCCCGGGGCUCAACCCCGGGCAUGCAUUGGAAACUGGCGGGCUGGAGUGCCGGAGAGGUAAGCGGAAUUCCUAGUGUAGCGGUGAAAUGCGUAGAUAUUAGGAGGAACACCAGUGGCGAAGGCGGCUUACUGGACGGCAACUGACGCUGAGGCUCGAAAGCGUGGGGAGCAAACAGGAUUAGAUACCCGAGUA